rnacentral:tRNA from 1 species
CGGGGAGUGGCGCAGCUUGGCUAGCGCGCAGCGUUCGGGACGCUGAGGCCGAGGGUUCAAAUCCCUCCUCCCCGACCA